CAGUGAUGGUGGGAGUGGGGGACGGUGUGUCGUUAUCUGCAAACUAAGAUGAAGAGGACACAGAGACUACGAGAUUGAGGAGAGAAGGGUGGAGGGAUAGGGCCUCUGCACAGAGAAAGCAAAGCUGGCAUGAAAAAGAGACGGACAGUCUACAUACUAAUGUUGAAAUUUGCUCUAGUUUCAGAUGAUCUAGUAGUCCCUAAAGCAGUCUUUGCCCAGAUGUGCCGUCCCAUGAGGCCACUUUGGUGACAGAGAUGAGGGCACUCUGAAGGGACCACCUCAGGCCCAGAGCAGGCUGGACUAAACAGCCACCAAGUUCCAGAUGCUACUAUGAUUCCAUCCUGAUUUCCCUGGGCAGACGACUGUACCAUUGUGUCCCAAAGUCUCACCUCUCCAGAGCCCUGCCCCACUAGGGGAAGAUGGAAACAGACUGGUGGUAUGGAUUGACCUGUCAACAUCCAUGUCCCGCAGAGAAGCAAUUACUGAAGCCAGACCUUCCACUUUCUGCACCCCAUAAAGAAUUCUGGUCCAUAUUCCCAGAGUGGUAAAUAGUAGGGGAAAUAAACCAGAGAGCUCGGUACCCCCACUCCACCAGGACCCAAGCAUUUGUCUCCAGGAAUCUUGUUUUUAUACCGUCACUGAAAGGGAAGCGAAUCUGGAAAACACCAGAGGAAGUCAGGAGCUAUUUCUCUUAUCUGAGAGAAAAGAGAACGAAAAGGAAAAACACUAGGAAGUAGUGAUAGGUGUGGGGUGACUUAGCAAAAAAAGAAAAGGAUGAAACAUAGAUAUAGACAAAUAGUUAUAGAAUCAGCCAUAUCACUAACCUUGGGAGAACUACUGCAGUUUCUAAUUGGAGGGAUGGGACACAGAACUCUGGUGGUGGGAACUGUAUGGAAUAUACCCCUAUUAUCUUACAAUUCUGUAAAUCAAUAUUAAAUCACACAGAAAA